GUUGCCCGCCGACAACGUGCUGCGUUUAAAGCACGUUGUUUGAGGAUUGCUGCUGUUGCUUCACCGAGGAAGCCUGCACGAAGUCAUCUCGCCGUACCACUCGUCAGCUGUCCGUAAAGGAUUCACAGGAGUAUCUUGUGAGGAGAACGUGUAUGCCGUCCUAGCAGCCAGGCUGAAACUUCAAAAAGGCCAGACAUUUGAAUCACUAGCUGUCGAGAACAGUCAGGCAGAAACGACUGCUAAACAGUUUAGCCCAUGAGCCAGUGCCAAGAGUUAACUAAGUUCUAAAUAAUGGUGGUCCAGAAGCAGUAUGAUGAAUCCCAGAGGAAGGAAGAAGAGCUGUUCAGAUUAAAUAAAGAGACUAGAGCUCAAAAUUAACUUUCAAUAAGAGAAAUUGAAAAAAUAAUUUCAGAGUAAAAACAUUAAGAUAUAAACUGGUUUUAUUUUUAUUUAAUUAAGUCAUAUGAACU